AACCUUUUUUAUGGAAGAUGAUACGAAAUAUUGCUAAGAAUUCUCCUUUUGUAAGUAGGAAAAAUAAUACAAGUACCUAACUUGUUACGCCUAGCUGCUCUGAUAACAUCUUCUAACUCUAUGACAUAACUAUCUUCUAGUAUUAUCGUUACAAACAUACACACAUACCUACAUACUGAACUAUCAUUAGCUUAAUAAACCUAUCGAACGCGCAUGUGACACUGUUUGAGUUGCAGGCGUCCAUAGGUUACAGUAACCACUUUACAUCAGACGGGCCUUAUGCUUGUUUGCCACUGACGUAGUACAUAAAAAGAUGGAAAGUCUCAUGAGUGAAAGUUUCCAAACAUGACGAAAUAUGAUUCUUGGUUACACAUAAUAUUGUAUGUACUAUUUUUCUAAAUAAAUGAUUGCAACGAUUGCUUCAUUGUUACACAACGAUGGUAGUAUGGCUACCGUACCGUACAUCGAAAUCUACAGAUCCAACUGAAAUCUUACUUUGUUUUGUAAACGAUUGAACAAGAAUUACGUUUCGAACAGUAUGCGAGCGAAACCGCGGGCAAAAGCUAGUAAAUCCUGUACUACUACGCAUUACCUAUUUAUCUCAUUUUAUAACUAAUAUGGUUCUACGAUCCGUUAUUUAGCAAAACAUAGAAAGUUUGAAAUUUGGUGUUCUUCAACUGACCUUUUAAUUUGUCAUAGUAUACUAGCAGUCUAAACAAAGUUUUACUAUAAUAAUAUUUUUCUCCUCAAUGAAACUCCACAGAAUAUAUUUAUUAUCAUGGAUGUUUCCCUUGUAUACAAGCAUGUUUUUAUCCAUUCAAAUAGGCAUAUCGUCGCUUAGCACCCAUAGCACAAAAUUUGAUAGGUUUGGGGCUAAGUUGAACUGUGUAAGAUGUCCCCAAUAUUUAUUUAUUUAUUUCAUAUUUAUAUAAAAAAAAGCAUUAAGAUUGAAUGUAAACGUCAAAUCACUGUCUCUAUUUUAUUAUUCUACAAUUCGUUCCACAUAGUCUGCAGAGCCCCAUUCAUACUGGAUAAAUUUUAGUCGCAUCCGGUCCGUCAAAUGUCUUAUGAUCUAUAGAGCCCUUUUGAUUUUUCUAUGGCAACAUUUGCUAUGCUGACGUCAUUGCCACGUCAUUACUGUCAGUCAGACAGAAAUAAAAGAAAAAUGGAUGCCGUUCAGACGUACACGCAUUAUUUGGAACUGAAAAUUACGUAAUUUAUCGACCUGCUGGCUUGUAUUUGUUAUAAAUCAUAAAAAACAUGUGACGCCAGUGGAACUACGUGGUUUUCUUUCGUGAUGAUUUGAUGAUACCUCAAUGGAAUUGAGCCAAGUUUUUGCCGUAUUGGGUGCUAGAUGCCCCUUGGAGUUAAGCCCCAGUGCCACUAUACUACUUUACCAGUUAUGUGUGGGUGUCCUAAGGCACCCCAGAGAUGCAUAGGCCUUCACAAGCUCACGCCACGCCUUCCUAUCUUCAGCAACCCUUGUGACCUCGCUCCACCAACUCAAACCUGCCACUCGCAGCUCCUUUUCGACGGACCGCUUCCAUGAGUAGACAAGGCACCGACGAUCACGGCUUGCAUCACCUGUACUGCUAUGUAAUAUAGUAUGCUGAACACCGCUGCCAUUAUACUAGGAUUAACGUCCUGCCCCUUCCCCGGCUGUGUACAAAUUGGAACUCCAUUGGCAUGCCCCUUUGACUGAGCAACGUGUAUGUGUGUGUGCUCGAAACACAUUCACUUGCAACAGAAUGACUCCCAGGCUGACCUGACUCAGUUCCUGUAUGUCUGAUCUACAUCCACAAUGGUUUCAAUGAAAGAGUGAAAAUUCUUCUCCAUGUACAAUCACUUCUAACGCCUACACUGACUACACCAAAUAUGAUCAUCACUCAACGUGUCUCACAUCAAGAUACUUUUCAAAAGUCAUCGAGAAGAGGAACAUAAUAUCUUUUCCCAUGGUUGCCUGAAUAAUCCUAACUAAAAGUUACUUCUCUAUUCUAUUUUUCCUGCAUGGAGUGGCGCUUUUCCGUCUAAUGGAAACGAAAUGAACAUAUAUGCUCUGGGUUUUUUUUUUGUGCACCUUUCCAAUAUUACUAAUAAAGCAUUU
rnacentral:lncRNA from 1 species